GAAGCCCUGGGAGUCGCCUUGAACAGGUACACAGAGCGGCCGACAGCCCCUGGAUCUGUUUCCUGUUGGUCAACCACACUUGACUUUUUUAAGAGAAGAGGGAGAACCUCUAGAAAUGGUGGAGGUUUGAGUUAAAGCUGCACCUGAACGGGUUUAGGUGUGGAUUUGGUCAUUUCAGUCUGUCCUUGAAGUCUCCAGCACACACCUGACAGAUCCUGGAAUCCACUGGAAAACUCCCCUCAGAGGGGGGGGUGAAGGCAGACGGCGAGCAGGGAAAGUCUGUCCUGCAGCGCGAGGAG